rnacentral:rRNA from 1 species
UACAGAGGGGCGAGCGUUGUUCGGAAUACUGGGCGUAAAGCGUGCGCAGGCGGUCUGUUAAGUCAGCUGUGAAAUCCCCGGGCUCAACCUGGGAAUGGCAGUUGAGACUGGCAGGCUGGAGUGUGUCAGAGGGGGUGGAAUUCCACGUGUAGCAGUGAAAUGCGUAGAUAUCGGGAGGAACACCAAUGGCGAAGGCAGCUCACUGGGACGGUACUGACGCUGAGACGCGAAAGCGUGGGAGCAACAGG